rnacentral:lncRNA from 1 species
AGUCCCUCGGUGGGGCCAGGCUCCAGCGCUCGCCUGGCAGAUGCGGCCCCGGGGCCAUCCCGAGCCCGAGGGGCGGAGAGGGGAGCCGAGAAUUCGGAAGUGAGAAGGGGACCCGGAGACAAAGGGAAAAAACCAAGACUGAGAAAGAAGUGAGAGUAUGGGUGAAAAGAAUGAGAAAGGAUGAUACUGAGAAGACAAAGGGAAAAAGUAGACUGCAUGCCCCUCUACCAAAAGUGUUGUUUGUUGACUUUCGAUUUUUCGAAAGCGAGAAAAGAUAAAGAGCUCUUGACCUGUUUUCCUUUGGGAUUUCAGCCUGAACAACCUCUCCCCUGCUGGCAAAAUUAUUGCUUUGGUUCAGUUCUUAGGGCAUCCACCCUUCUAC